UAGGGAAUCUUCGGCAAUGGACGAAAGUCUGACCGAGCAACGCUGCGUGAGUGAAGAAGGUUUUCGGAUCGCAAAACUCUGUUGUUAGAGAAGAACAAGGACGUUAGUAACUGAACGUCCCCUGACGGUAUCUAACCAGAAAGCCACGGCUAACUACGUGCCAGCAGCCGCGGUAAUACGUAGGUGGCAAGCGUUGUCCGGAUUUAUUGGGCGUAAAGCGAGCGCAGGCGGUUUCUUAAGUCUGAUGUGAAGGCCCCCGGCUCAACCGGGGAGGGGCAUUGGAAACUGGGUGACUUGAGUGCAGAAGAGGAGAGUGGAAUUCCAGGUGUGGCGGUGAAAUGUGUAGAUAUAUGGAGGAACACCGGUGGCGAAGGCGGCUCUCUGGUCUGUAACUGACGCUGAGGCUCGAAAGAGUGGGGAGCAAACAGG
rnacentral:rRNA from 1 species